rnacentral:hammerhead_ribozyme from 1 species
AUUCAGCUAACGAGUCCUAGAUAGGACGAAAUGCGCGUCCUGGAU